rnacentral:rRNA from 1 species
CCUACGGGUGGCAGCAGUGGGGGAUAUUGCACAAUGGGGGGAACCCUGAUGCAGCGACGCCGCGUGGGUGAAGAAGCGCCUCGGCGCGUAAAGCCCUGUCAGCAGGGAAGCAAAUGACGGUACCUGAAGAAGAAGCCCAGGCGAACUACGUGCCAGCAGCCGCGGUAAUACGUAAGGGGCAAGCGUAAUCCGGAUUUACUGGGUGUAAAGGGGGCGCAGACGGCGAUGCAAGCCAGGAGUGAAAGCCCGGGGCCCAACCCCGGGACUGCACUUGAAACUGCGUGGCUGUAGUGCAGGAGGGGCAGGCGGAAUGCCAGGUGUAGCGGUGGAAUGCAUAGAUAACAGGAAGAACACCGGUGGCGAAGGCGGCCUGCUGGACUGCAACUGACGGUGAGGCCCGAAAGCGUGGGGAGCGAACAGGAUUAGAGACCCCAGUAGUC